CCCUGAAGCCUAAAUGCGCUAAAGACACAGAUCCUUUAUGAUCUUGGAAGCAAAGCAGGGUCAGUUCUGCUUAGUAUUUGGAUGGGAAACUGCUAAUGAAUAACAGGCACUGUAGAAU
rnacentral:rRNA from 11 species